rnacentral:lncRNA from 1 species
GAGAACAGAGAAGUGUGUGAGGAUAUAUGAUGAAGGAAACAAUUACGUGAUAGAAAUGAGGGAUGCACUCGCAGAGUAGGGCAGUGAACAAUUUUGCGGAGAAUAGGUAAGAAGAAGACGAUGCGAGAAAAAUCUAAGCAAGGAUAAAAAGGUAUUUUUCAAUUGUUGUCCACCAGACAAAAAGUUGUCCCAAACUUUAGUGAGUUACAAAAAAACGCUUAGUUGUCCGGU